rnacentral:lncRNA from 1 species
UUCUGUUAAUCCUUUCUUCAUUCUUCCUGCCCCUUAGGAUUUUCUGUGUCUCUUCUGGGUCAUGGUUAAUGCUGUGGAUCUCACACCCCAUAACUGAAUGAUGGACAAUGAAGGCUGAUUGUCUACACUCGGGACAGAAAUGAAUAUAAUGACACUGGGAGUGUCCUGCUGCUGAAAACUGUGGAAUGAAGAUAAGCUGAUAUGUUGCAUAUGGACCUGAAGUAAUCAAACUGAAGAGGUGGAGGGUGAAGAUGAUGAUUUACUUCAUAUGCCCUUGAAUGCUUGCUGUCCAAACUCACAUUUACCCACAUUUUCCCAAGGUUACCUAAUCCUGAAGGACCACCUAAAAUAAAAAGAUGAGGAAGAAGAUAUUGUGGGCUUCACAAUGGUUGUGAACCCUACAUCUCAGGAAGAAGUCAAGAAGAGAACAUCAGAAGAUCCUUCUAUGUCUGCUACCCAAUGAAGGUUCAGGCUCUGUCUUCAGGAUUCAACUAGAGCAGACAGAUAGGAGCUUCCCAGUUCAGACCACCAUGGGAGAUCAGACACAGGUAUGGAACUCAAUGGAUUGGAGUUAUCAAAAUGAAGGGCUGGC